GGCAGGGUGGAGCAGUCUGGUAGCUCGCCGGGCUCAUAACCCGGAGGUCGUAGGUUCAAAUCCUACCCCUGCAACUCCA
rnacentral:tRNA from 1 species